AGAGUUAAAUAGUACGUGAAAUUGUUGAAAGGGAAACGAUUAAAGUCAGUCAUGCUUGCAGGGAAUCAGCAUGGUGGUUUAUUCUUCCUUGUGCACUUCCUUGCUUAGCAGGUUAGCAUCAAUUUUGAUUGUCAUUAAAGAACCGGGGGAAUGUGGCUUCUUCGGGAGUGUUAUAGACCUUGGUAGAUGUGGCGAUCGGGAUUGAGGAUUGCAGCGAAUGCUUCUUGGCUAGUCACCUGGCUUCUGACGGUCACCUUGCUUUCGAUAGCUUGUUAACGUUAGUGAGAUUUGGUUGUCUAGAUGUUAAAGUGAUCAUAAAUUCGCUAAGGAUGCUGACGUAAUGGCUUUAAACGA
rnacentral:misc_RNA from 1 species